CACGAAUGAAAAAUUAUCUGACUUGUUUUCGAUAAUGCUCACAAUUUCUUUCUUAUUAUAUUGUUUUGCAGCUCUGACUGAGUACAAUCUUAAUCAUUUAUACUAGAAAAUACGUAAACGAUAUAUUACUAGGACAUGUUUCUAAAAUUUAAGCCUAUGUCUUGGAAGAACAAGAUUCAAUCUGUUCAUAAUGUUAAUUAUCUACCAACAAUCCGACAACGUCCCUGUACAACCUUGUGGACCAUAACAACUCUUUUCGUAGAUUUUUUGCAGAAUCUUAAUUUUAGUUUGUCUGAUAGCGGGUUUGCGUUGACAAAUUUCUUUUUUUCAUGUGUACAAACAACAUCGCAAUUGAACCACACUUGUGUGCACAUAGUCAUAAAGGAUUGUUUUCAUCUCAACCGAUCAUCCAAAAAAAAAGCUCCCCACAAGUUCAAGAAGAGUUAACUACCCCUACGGAUUCCUAGACGGUUUUGUUGCAAGGAUGUCUUUCCAAACGUUCGAAGCACCCUGAUAUGGUAACGUUUGACACUGUGGGAACAAAAGUUUUAUUUUCAGUAUUUCAAACCUGCACAAAUGAUCUAUAGUUAGUGCCAUUAAUCACAACUGUUACACCGCUAUAAACCUUUUAUAACUCUUUCCAUAAAGUAAAUAUUUGCAUUUGCUUGGUUGAACUUGUAAAUCAGGAACCAAAACUGAUGCCUGUGGUGUUUUUAUUUCUCCAACGAAUACAGCAGUUAACUCACAUUUAGUCUUUCAAACUGGAUUAAUCCUCGACUGGAGCGUACAGAAUUUUGCCUUCAUCAGUGCUCCACUACGUCGCAAAAUGGUGGCUGAAUUUCAACGUCAUUUUCCACGACGACAUUUUCCGAGCAGUAUCACAAGGUAGAUCCUGUCUCUAUUUCAAGAUUGUGUUCCAGAUAGUGAUUAGGUGAAAGUAUUUACUGACGUUUUGGUUUUGCCAUAUCGCUUGCUUCAUGAUUCUUGCAAUCAUCAAUGUUCAUCCACGUUGCAAAUUAUUGGUUAUAGUUCAAUUAGAUUUUUUACAAAUACAGAACUCAAUACUGGUCUGUGUCACAUACAUAAACAUAUUUAUUUUGUUACACGUUCAAAUAUGUCCUGCUUCAAUCUUUUAACUAAGUUGUAACAAACUUGAACAAUAAUUAUCUACCUUGGAAAAAAUAAGUACAUUUUCCUUUAUGUUAUUUUAUUUUAUUAAAAAAAAAAAUAUUUUUGUUGAAAACGUUCUUCUCAUAUGCAUAUUAUUAGCUUAUGCCAAGAUAGAGCGUUUUCAAAUAUUGCCUUUCGAGAACAUAUAGCAAAGAUAUUUUUGAGAAAAUAAUCUAUGAAAAUACCUUUGUUAUAUCUACGAAAUGUUGACUAUACGACGUUAGCCUGAAAUUUCCGAGUACUGCACGCAUGAAUGGCAAUUAUACAAGCAAUUUUACACCCAAUUUCAAACACCUACAAAACAUUUGUUUUAUUUUUCCAGGAAUUAGAUCGAUUAGAAAUUCUCGGUCGCUAGCUGGA